ensembl:lncRNA novel transcript
CUGGUUGCAAUCUUGGCUGUUCUGCUAUUCUUCAUUAUGUUGCCAAGUGUUGAACUACAGCAAAGAGAGCAACGUAACUGGUGUGACUAGAAUUCUCCCUGCCUGAUAGUCAUUGGGAUAGCCUUCUUUUCAAUGUGUGCAAUUGUUGGACUCAUUAUCGGUUUGCAUCGCAGAAACAGAGAAACACCACCUUGGUAACCAGUGCUGCUGUGAGGUGAGAAAAGAACAGGACAGAACUGAAGUAACAACCAGCUCUCACAGUGAGUGAUUCACAUCAGCGUAAAGUCAAGCCAAGCCCCUGCCAAACACCAUUCUACCCUCUGCCUCUGAGACAGCAAGAUAGAGCUUAAGUAGCAACCAGCUCACUCACAGUGGGUGAGUCACAUCAGCAGCAUCAAGACAAGACAAGGAUGUGUGGAGUCCCCCUGCCAUCUGAGUGACCACUCUUGCAGGACCAGGCAUCACCAUGGCCUGGAAAAACCAGCCUCAGUGCCCUCAGUAUUUUUUGGUUGCUCCUUCCCUGGAGUCCUUCACAGCACCAGAAACUGACUCUUCCUGGCUCCAGUUCUCUUCUAGAUCUGAGAGGACAAAAGCCCCACAACCUCCCAGCAACCUGUGCAUCAAUAAAGGCUGCCUUGCUCCCUG